rnacentral:rRNA from 1 species
AUUGAACGCUGGCGGCAGGCCUAACACAUGCAAGUCGAGCGGAUGAAGGGAGCUUGCUCCUGGAUUCAGCGGCGGACGGGUGAGUAAUGCCUAGGAAUCUGCCUGGUAGUGGGGGAUAACGUCCGGAAACGGGCGCUAAUACCGCAUACGUCCUGAGGGAGAAAGUGGGGGAUCUUCGGACCUCACGCUAUCAGAUGAGCCUAGGUCGGAUUAGCUAGUUGGUGGGGUAAAGGCCUACCAAGGCGACGAUCCGUAACUGGCCUGAGAGGAUGAUCAGUCACACUGGAACUGAGACACGGUCCAGACUCCUACGGGAGGCAGCAGUGGGGAAUCUUGGACAAUGGGCGAAAGCCUGAUCCAGCAAUGCCGCGUGUGUGAAGAAGGUCUUCGGAUUGUAAAGCACUUUAAGUUGGGAGGAAGGGAAGUAAGUUAAUACCUUGCUGUUUUGACGUUACCAACAGAAUAAGCAACGGCUAACUUCGUG